CACCUCGUGGAAAAAGAGGAUGGAAAGCAUUUUAUGCUGUUCUUAAGGGACUCAUCCUUUACCUGCAGAAAGGCGAGUAUCGGCCGGAUAAACCGUUAUCAGAUGAGGAUUUGAAGAAUGCGGUGUCUAUUCAUCAUUCGCUGGCCAUCAGAGCCACAGACUACAGCAAACGUCCGAACGUGUUUUACCUCCGGACCGCGGACUGGAGAGUCUACCUCUUUCAGGCCCCGAAUGCUGAACAAAUGCAGUCUUGG